UAAUAUUCUAAAGUACGAUAAAGACAGAAAACAGGAGACCAACUGUAAGUUACGUCUCCUGAACAAUGCAUAGGUUUAGAUGUUAUAUCAUGAUGUAGGGCGCGGAGCUGCAGUCUUGAAGAAUACGAUUAUGCAGACGUCAAAACAGGAACAAUGAAGAAUUUUGCAAAAGUUUCAACUUGAUCCAAGAAUGGGAAGUGGGAGAAAUAACGUGAACAAGAUUUGUACCAGACAGACAGAAAAAAUAACUGAACACUUUUGUGAAGGGAGCAGAUUCUAUCGUUGUUCUAGUGAGGACAAAGAUUUGGUUUAUUUGUGUUCAGUUGUGCUAAUAUGAAUUGAUUUAAAAAUAAAUAUGGAAGUAAACCUUACUGAGAUUGUCAUAGAGUGAGUCUUAUACGUACUACUGGUACAACACUAUAGAUCACAUGACCAACGAUACACAGAAACCCAGUGUGAUUUUCAAUGAAAUAAACCUGCUCACGUUACCUGCGAGUGAUAUCACAUUCCAUUGCAGGCCAGUUUACUUAUCAGUUAAAGUUUUAUCAGCUAUGGAUUUGGGGGCCUGGGGGGCUUGACCUCUUUAGGGACCCCUGUAUUUUGACAUUCCACAACAUGACAUGAGAUAAUGGCGUAAUAUUUAAUGUAAAAACAAAUUUUCGGACACUCAUUUAGGGGACCAUUUAAUUGGGAGCAAGGGCUGAUUUUCAAAUUAGGACCCUUCACCAUCCUAAUUUUGUUAAAUAUAGCUCUAAGCCCUAUCUAUAAUGAAUAACAAGCAAGAUUUUUAAAAAUGCUUAUAUAAUGGAAAGAGCUUCACACUUACAGCCAUAUCUUUCAAUAUUGUAAG